UGCUCCUUCCGGUUUCAGCCAUUUCGCCGUUGGGACUCAGAACUAUCAGGAGGCAAAUCAACGUUGUUCUCGAAGAAAGCACGAAUCAUGAGUUGGAUCUUCGCGUUAGUUACACUGAUGGCCUGGACAGCGUUGGGUUUCACCUAAGCAGCAGGCUGCAGCUUUUCCAGGAAAGGGAGUGUUUCUUCUCUAUGGAGGAUUUUAUAUUUUUCUCUACGGAGGAAGUUAUAUUCUAACUGAGACAAAAGACUGUAUCGCCAGAAAGAAAGAGGACUUUGGCAUGUUGGAUCACAUUUUCUUUUGCUGUUUGCAUGGGACUUAAAUUGAGUUUAUCAGCAAAUGCUGGUAUUUGAAGAGUUUUGUGGCAGAUUCUUAGAAAUUGAACCAUCGGAUUGGUAGAGAUAAACUCCACCAAAUGCUGCCAGUGAUUCUUCACAUCGGUGGUUCCAAGAUAAGUUGUGGUCAUGAGUUUGGGAUCAGUGGAGCGCAAGUAGAAUGGGCGGUGGAACACAUGGGACGCUCAGAAGGCCGAUCUCUAAAUCUCUAUCUCUGUAAGGAAAACAAUCUUCUGAUUCCAAAAUGUGCCCUUUCUAUUGUUUUCUGGCUCCUUCCUCAUACAGUACGUACCAUAUAUCUUAUGUUGACUUUACAAUCCUUCUAAGCUUAUUACAAUGAAUUAACUCCAUUUAUAAACUUUAAGUUGGAUUAUUUUUAUAUAUUUUUUUAUCAUUUUUUUUUUAAUUUAUGUGUAAUCUAAUCCUGAUUUGUAUAUAAACAGUAAUUUAUUUCUAUAUCCCUGUAAUAUACUUUCCUUCUGAUCUUGUGCAUAUAUGUGGUAGCAUGGAGGUGGGUCCCGGGCUGCCACGCAUAUGUGACCUAUUCCCGAUCAAGUGAUCACUAACCUGUUUGCAGUGAUGACAUGGUAUAUAAAAAUUCCUGAACACG